UACAUGUCUGACAAGAAUACUUACGUCGAUUACCGUGAAUUUCGUAAUUACCUAUAUUGGAAUUUACAAAAUUCGUUACUUUAAACAUUUCUAAGACGGAACACCGAGCCUCGGCUGGACAAAAAAGUAGAAAGAUAGAGACUAGGACUGCAAAAUCGCUACGAGAUCCUUCCGAAACGAGAAAAUGGAACAGCGAGAGGACGGAUCGCUCGGAUAUUUUGUUUGAACGAGUCUACUUUCUAAACUUUUUCGGUCAUUACCAAGAAUCCGGUUCUAUAGAGCCCGGAUGGAGGACGGUCGGACUACUCUGACGGAAGAUCGAUUCUGCGCCAGCUUCUAACGAAAUACCGAUCCGGUACGUGCGUGGAAGCCGCGGAACCGUAGAGCCGACGAAUAGGUCGACCCGAAAAUUGACCGACAGUUAACAAAAUGACGUGGCUGGCGUUCUGGCAAGAGUAAGCGAAAAUUCGCGUAGAUGCCAAUUCGGCAAAAGAGGCAGGUUGCACCUUGCAGGAGGAGUAAGAAUUAUUCCGAGACAAUCAUAUUUGAUAUUACGUGGCACGAUUACGUACGAACGCUGCCCGUCUUCAAUAAUCGAAUCGUUAAAUUUAUACUAAAUAGUUAGUUUUUAGUUAAUCCGUCUUAAUAAAUAUUAACAUCAGAAAGAAAUUACAAUUCAUUUACGGUAAAAGAAGUAAUUAACAGAAUUCUUUAUAUGUCGUAGACAAAAGUUUAAGAAGAAAUUGAAAUAAUUGGAAAUUUUACCCCAAUUCGAGAAUAUCAUUAUUGUACUUCUUGUAUAAGUAAUUAUCAUUCGGUUUACACUUUUCCUAUUACGUAACGUUAAUUCUUA